AUGCAAGUCGAACGGCAGCACGGGUGCUUGCACCUGGUGGCGAGUGGCGAACGGGUGAGUAAUACAUCGGAACAUGUCCUGUAGUGGGGGAUAGCCCGGCGAAAGCCGGAUUAAUACCGCAUACGAUCUACGGAUGAAAGCGGGGGACCUUCGGGCCUCGCGCUAUAGGGUUGGCCGAUGGCUGAUUAGCUAGUUGGUGGGGUAAAGGCCUACCAAGGCGACGAUCAGUAGCUGGUCUGAGAGGACGACCAGCCACACUGGGACUGAGACACGGCCCAGACUCCUACGGGAGGCAGCAGUGGGGAAUUUUGGACAAUGGGCGAAAGCCUGAUCCAGCAAUGCCGCGUGUGUGAAGAAGGCCUUCGGGUUGUAAAGCACUUUUGUCCGGAAAGAAAUCCUUGGCUCUAAUACAGUCGGGGGAUGACGGUACCGGAAGAAUAAGCACCGGCUAACUACGUGCCAGCAGCCGCGGUAAUACGUAGGGUGCGAGCGUUAAUCGGAAUUACUGGGCGUAAAGCGUGCGCAGGCGGUUUGCUAAGACCGAUGUGAAAUCCCCGGGCUCAACCUGGGAACUGCAUUGGUGACUGGCAGGCUAGAGUAUGGCAGAGGGGGGUAGAAUUCCACGUGUAGCAGUGAAAUGCGUAGAGAUGUGGAGGAAUACCGAUGGCGAAGGCAGCCCCCUGGGCCAAUACUGACGCUCAUGCACGAAAGCGUGGGGAGCAAACAGGAUUAGAUACCCUGGUAGUCCACGCCCUAAACGAUGUCAACUAGUUGUUGGGGAUUCAUUUCCUUAGUAACGUAGCUAACGCGUGAAGUUGACCGCCUGGGGAGUACGGUCGCAAGAUUAAAACUCAAAGGAAUUGACGGGGACCCGCACAAGCGGUGGAUGAUGUGGAUUAAUUCAAUGCAACGCGAAAAACCUUACCUACCCUUGACAUGGUCGGAAUCCCGCUGAAAGGUGGGAGUGCUCAAAAAAAAACCGGCGCACAGGUGCUGCAUGGCUGUCAUCACCUCGUGUCUUGAAAUGUAGGGUUAGUCCCCCACCAGCCCACCCUUGUCUUAAUUGCUUCGCAAGACACUUUAAGAAAACUGCCGGUAACAACCGGAGGAAGGGGGGGAAGAGGGGGGUUCCCUGGGCCCUU
rnacentral:rRNA from 1 species